GAAUGUUACGUAAUUAGUAAGUGGUAGACUCAGAUCCAGUCAGUCUGGCACAAGAAUAUGUGCAGUUGAUCUCUGGGUUCUCCUCUAUAUCUAUUUUCCUUAUGAUUUUUUUCCUUUCUUGUCUUUUCUUGUAGUUCUCUCUAAGGAGUAAAGAAACUUUCCCCAGGAGCUUCCCAGCAGACAACUCUUCACAUCUCAUUGGCACCUGCCCAUUCCUGAACCAACUAGAUUACUCUUAGCCCAAACAGACCACCCCUGGAGUUGAAAGUAGGGUCAGCUUCCCCCAGGGAUAUUGCUGUGUGGGAAAGUGUAGACACAUGAACCAAAUCUGGGUUCUCUUUGGAAGGAAAAGAAGGUGGGGUGGGGUUGAUGCUGAGAAGAUAACCAACAAUCUCCAGUAAAGUCCAACUUGGGUUGGCAGGGAUCAGUUCCUUUCAUCUAAUAGCUCCACAAUGCUCUUGAACCCUGAAGUUCCCUACUGGAUUCUCAGCAUUUGCCUAGUGAAAAAGAGAAGAGAAAAAAAGCCUGGAAGAUUGCAUGAGAG